rnacentral:rRNA from 1 species
AUGCAGCUGGACGACUCCGACGGCGCCCUCGACUCGUGGGCCCGCUUCUGCGCUCUCUCCGGCGAGCUCGUCGGCGGCGCCGGCGAUCUCUCCGUCGGCCCGCGCCUGGCGCCCGUCGUGGCGGACCUCUGCGCCCGCGGCCUCGCCACGCUCGUCCGCGACUACUUCCUCCACAACCUCGAGGAAACAUUUAGAAACAAUGCAGUCAAGAUGUUCUGGCAGAAAUUUCAUCCCUAUAGCAGUUCUUCUGCAGUAGAAAGAAUUAAAUUCUGUUCUAAAGUUUAUGAACUAGCUGGUGAUGAUUACAGAAUCCCUGUCCUUGGGUCUGUCAAGAAGUGGAUUCAAGACCUAAGAAUUGGCAAACUUUUCGAAAUUAUAGUAGAUUACCCCGAGAGUUCACCCGCUAUUGAAGACCUAAAGCAGUGUUUAGAGUACACGGGUCAACACUCUAAGCUUGUUGACUCAUUUAUCUCGUCAUUGAGAUAUCGCUUGCUUACUGCUGGUGCCUCAACUAAUGACAUAUUGCACCAGUAUGUUUCCACUAUCAAGGCACUGCGGUCGAUUGACCCCACUGGUGUAUUCUUGGAAGCGGUUGGUGAACCAAUUAGGGAUUAUCUGAGAGGUAGAAAAGACACUAUUAAAUGCAUAGUGACAAUGCUAACUGAUGGAUCUGGAGGAAACACAAGUGGGGAAAAUGCUGGUGAUAAUCUUCUUGAAGAAUUGAACAGGGAUGCUGAAAACCAGGAAAAUGCUGACUAUGAUGAUCAUACAAACAUUGAUGAGAAUCAAGCUUGGUUGAAUUCUGAAAGCUGGGCGCCUGAUCCUGUUGAAGCAGAUCCAUUGAAAGGCAGCAGGAGUAGGAGGAAAAUUGAUAUACUUGGGCUGAUGGUCAGUAUAAUUGGCUCAAAGGACCAAUUGGUCAACGAAUAUCGUGUAAUGCUGGCCAAAAAGCUGCUCAGCAAAUCUGAUUUCGAUAUAGAUUCCGAUAUCCGCAUGCUGGAGCUUCUUAAGAUUCAUUUCGGUGAGAGCAGCAUGCAGAAGUGCGAGAUUAUGCUCAAUGACUUGAUUGACUCGAAGAGAACCAACUCAAAUAUUAAAGCAUCAUUAUUAAAUGCACCUGGAACUGAAGAUCUUGCAGUUCCUGCUUCAGUUGAUAAACUGCUGUCUGAUUUUGCACAAAGAUUCCAUCAGAUAAAAACUCCACGGAAGCUAUUGUGGAAGAAAAAUCUAGGAACGGUCAAGUUGGAACUGCAAUUUGAGGACAGAAGUACGCAGUUUACUGUAGUACCUGUGGAGGCUGCAAUCAUAAUGCGGUUUCAAGAGAAACCAAGCUGGACUUCAAAGGCACUUACUACCGAAAUCGGCAUACCUGUAAACUCUCUCAACAGAAGAAUAGUGUUAAGAUUGCUUUAUGCUAAAGAACUGUUAACUAUUCGUGACAUUACUAACAAUGAAAUGAGCCAUCGUGACUAUCAUAUCAUGGCGGCGACAAGUAGCGAAGCCGUGCAGCAGGACGAUAGGCUGGGCAAGCUGCCCGACGAUAUCCUUGUUUCCAUCCUAGAGCGUCUGGACGACCUACGAUUCGCCGUGAGAAGCAGCAUCUUAAGCAAGCGGUGGCGACACCUUCCCGGCAUGAUCUCUGACAUCGAUUUGGACGUCUGGUCCUUCGUCAAGCACGACCAUGAUGAGGAUAGACGCAACACGGGGUUGCCACAGGCAGUGGAGAGCGUGCUGGCACACCAGAGCCGGCACAGCAUCGACCGCCUCGCCGUGCACUUCUUCUUGACGGACGACUCCGCCCGCAUCUUGCGCGCCGUCGACGACGCCGUGUCGAGCGGGAGGCGUCAGGUGACCUCCGUGGCGCUCUCGAUCCUCGGAGAGAAGCCCGACGUGCUCUGCGACGCGGGCGACAUGCUCAGGCACGCGGCGCGCCUCCUGCCGUCCCUCGCCGCGUACCCGAGCGCGUUCGCGGGCCUCGCCGACCUGCACCUGGAGAGCGUUAGGCUGGGCGAGUCCGAUGUCCCCCGCCUGCUGGGCGCCUGCGGCAAGCUGGAGCGCCUCGCUCUGCAGAACUGCGACUCCGGCUUGCGGACGGUGCUGCGGCUGGAGCACCCGCGGCUCCGCGAGCUCGACGCCGUCUUUUGCGGCUGCGAGGCGGUCGAGCUGAGGUCGCUCCCAAGGCUUGAGCGCGUGACCUGCACCCAAUGGAUGCCGUCGAAAAAUCUACCCCCACUUCUAUUCGGCCAGGUUCCAGGGCUCGAGGCCGUGACAUUCACUAACGCUGCCAUGGGUGGCGACAGGGCUCUCGGAUUUGGGGAGUUAGUUGGAGACGCUGCUGCGACCCUCCGUGAAUUAGUGCUUAACUUCCUAAAUGGAAGGGUUUGGAUCCAACCUCAGGAGCCGGUUCCUCUCAUGCAGAAUUUGAUGCAUGCUAGCUUUCAUAAUAUUAGAGAACAAUGCGAUCUCACUUGGACAAUGCUCAUUUUGAAAUCUGCACCCCACUUAAAGACUCUUGGUGUUACGGUAUCGAACCAUAGCUGUGGUGACACCGACCCAGAGGACGCUGAGAUCAUAAGGCGAUUAUUUUCCCAGGAAGAUAUUAUACAGUGGCAACCUUCUUAUUUCAAGCACUGUGACUUGUCUAUGCUCGUCAUUCAUGGUUUUCAAGUCCAAGAAAAAUUCAUGAAGUACAUAAAACGUCUCAUGAAAGUGGCAAUAAAUUUGGAAGAGAUGUGUUUGUUGCGCGAUGAAUGCAAGAACUGUGAGUUUUACCAAUCUCAAGGAUAUCCGCAGACAGAUAAGGAGAGGGACUCAACGAGAAGACAGAUUAACGACGGAAGAUUCGCCCCAAUCAAAGUGACUUUUUGA